rnacentral:rRNA from 1 species
AUGAGUUGCGAACGGGUGAGUAACGCGUAGGUAACCUGCCUUGUAGCGGGGGAUAACUAUUGGAAACGAUAGCUAAUACCGCAUAACAAUGGAUGACACAUGUCAUUUAUUUGAAAGGGGCAAUUGCUCCACUACAAGAUGGACCUGCGUUGUAUUAGCUAGUAGGUGAGGUAACGGCUCACCUAGGCGACGAUACAUAGCCGACCUGAGAGGGUGAUCGGCCACACUGGGACUGAGACACGGCCCAGACUCCUACGGGAGGCAGCAGUAGGGAAUCUUCGGCAAUGGGGGCAACCCUGACCGAGCAACGCCACGUGAGUGAAGAAGGUUUUCGGAUCGUAAAGCUCUGUUGUAAGUCAAGAACGAGUGUGAGAGUGGAAAGUUCACACUGUGACGGUAGCUUACCAGAAAGGGACGGCUAACUACGUGCCAGCAGCCGCGGUAAUACGUAGGUCCCGAGCGUUGUCCGGAUUUAUUGGGCGUAAAGCGAGCGCAGGCGGUUUGAUAAGUCUGAAGUUAAAGGCUGUGGCUCAACCAUAGUUCGCUUUGGAAACUGUCAAACCUGAGUGCAGAAGGGGAGAGUGGAAUUCCAUGUGUAGCGGUGAAAUGCGUAGAUAUAUGGAGGAACACCGGCGGCGA